AGUGAACGCUGGCGGUAGGCCUAACACAUGCAAGUCGAACGGCAGCACAGUAAGAGCUUGCUCUUACGGGUGGCGAGUGGCGGACGGGUGAGGAAUACAUCGGAAUCUACUUUUUCGUGGGGGAUAACGUAGGGAAACUUACGCUAAUACCGCAUACGACCUACGGGUGAAAGCAGGGGAUCUUCGGACCUUGCGCUAUUGAAUGAGCCGAUGUCGGAUUAGCUAGUUGGCGGGGUAAAGGCCCACCAAGGCGACGAUCCGUAGCUGGUCUGAGAGGAUGAUCAGCCACAAUGGAACUGAGACACGGUCCAGACUCCUACGGGAGGCAGCAGUGGGGAAUAUUGGACAAUGGGCGCAAGCAUGAUCCAGCAAUACCGCGUGGGUGAAGAAGGCCUUCGGGUUGUAAAGACCUUUUGUUGGGAAAGAAAAGCAGCAGGUUAAUACCCCGCUGUUCUGACGGUACCCAAAGAAUAAGCACCGGCUAACUUCGUG
rnacentral:rRNA from 1 species